UGCGUAGUUUAGUGGUAGAACGUUAGCUUCCCAAGCUGAAUGUGCGGGUCCGAUUCCCGUCGCGU
rnacentral:tRNA from 1 species